GGGUCAACAACACUCAGCAGGCAACUGGGGCCAGGUGUGGGGAGUUAAGCUAUGGACAACCAGGCCAACACAGAUGCAAGGGGUGGAAUUCAGGCUCCAGUAAGUCAAUGGCAAACCUCCCACCUUCUUCAGUGGAAUCUGGAUUUCACCCUGCAUUUUCCUGACUCAGAAGAGGUUUCAAAGCAUUGUGGGAAAAAGGGGAAAGUGUUUUCUCGCCAAGGAUGUAGGAGAGAACAGAAGAAAUAUCGCAAGGGGAAUGGCUGUUAAAUGAACUUGGCAGAAGUUACUAUUUCAAAAGUGAUGCUAGCUAAAAAGAGAAUAUGAGCAGAAAUGUUGGGCCUAGAUUUAUGAAAUGUCGCAGGACUUUAUGGCUAUUUAAAGUGAACAAAAAAGGUCACAAAGAUGAUUUUUUUAGAUUCUAGUGAGUAGUUUAUAAUUUCAGUCUUCUGAGCAAUCUCCGUGUGACAGAAUACUUCCAGCAUAGCAUCCCCAUGUAUCUCUAUGCAUCUACUGUUCCCAUCCAUAAUACCAUCGUCAACAGUGUCAGACCAAUUGUAGGACCCAGCUUUGUAGGAUGCAGUCCAAAGUCUCUGUUGCUAGUUAAAAGGCUUUUAUAAAAAGCACACUAUAUAUUUCAAAUACCUUUUGAACAUUUCUACUGUUGUGACAUUCCUCUCUUGCCUGCUGUCCUUUAACAAGGGUGAAAUAUAUCAAUAUUACCUUCAAUACUCACUUAUAAGCAAUUGCUUACCACCAUU